GACGAACGCUGGCGGCGUGCUUAACACAUGCAAGUCGAACGGAAAGGCCCUGCUUUUGUGGGGUGCUCGAGUGGCGAACGGGUGAGUAACACGUGAGUAACCUGCCCUUGACUUUGGGAUAACUUCAGUAAACUGGGGCUAAUACCGGAUAUGAGCUCCUGCUGCAUGGUGGGGGUUGGAAAGUUUCGGCGGUUGGGGAUGGACUCGCGGCUUAUCAGCUUGUUGGUGGGGUAGUGGCUUACCAAGGCUUUGACGGGUAGCCGGCCUGAGAGGGUGACCGGCCACAUUGGGAAUGAGAUACGGCCCAGACUCCUACGGGAGGCAGCAGUGGGGAAUAUUGCACAAUGGGCGGAAGCCUGAUGCAGCAACGCCGCGUGCGGGAUGACGGCCUUCGGGUUGUAAACCGCUUGCGCCUGUGACGAAGCGUGAGUGACGGUAAUGGGUAAAGAAGCACCGGCUAACUACGUG
rnacentral:rRNA from 1 species